rnacentral:rRNA from 1 species
GACGAACGCUGGCGGCGUGCUUAACACAUGCAAGUCGAACGGUGAAGCGCCUUCCUUUUUGGUGGGUGUGGAUGAGUGGCGAACGGGUGAGUAACACGUGAGUAACCUGCCCCCUUCUUCUGGAUAACCGCAUGAAAGUGUGGCUAAUACGGGAUAUUCUGGGUCUGUCGCAUGAUGGGUCUGGGAAAGAUAUUGUUUCGGUGGGGGAUGGGCUCGCGGCCUAUCAGCUUAUUGGUGGGGUGAUGGCCUACCAAGGCGGUGACGGGUAGCCGGCCUGAGAGGGUGGACGGUCACACUGGGACGGAGACACGGCCCAGACUCCUACGGGAGGCAGCAGUGGGGAAUAUUGCACAAUGGGCGCAAGCCUGAUGCAGCGACGCCGCGUGAGGGAUGGAGGCCUUCGGGUUGUGAACCUCUUUCGCCAGUGAAGCAGGCCUGCCUCGUUUGUGGGUGGGUUGACGGUAGCUGGAGAAGAAGCGCCGGCUAACUACGUG